GGAGGUAAGGGCAGUUUGGCUGCAUUAUCUGUCGCCCCGUUGAUCGCUGGCUAGGUGAGUGUCCCCUUCCUCCCUCACCACUCCAUGUGUGUCCCUCCCGAAGCCGUGUGCUCGGUCGAAGAAGAUGACCAUCCCUGCUAGAGGAGGACCAGACUUCAGUCAAGGGUAUACAAGGACCUGUGCUCCUCUACCAGAACCUCCAAACAAACUCUCCAGAGUUCCAAGGGCAAGCUCACACCCCUGUUUUUUUCCUGUUUUAGCAAAAGACAAG
ensembl:misc_RNA 7SK 7SK RNA